GGGGGUGACCUGGUUUCGACGUGGGUUACAAAGCAGCGCAGGGCAUACCGAGGGCUGGCUACCUCGUAAAUACAACCAGAAAAUAUCUAACUGCAAACGAAGAUACUUUCUUAAAAGUCGCUUAAUAGCGCUUUUCUCUACACCAUUUUGUCUCUGGAGUGGGCUGGAAACAGCUGUGGAGUCAUAUACAGGGAAUCGCUUUAAGUCGGGUUACUUGGCUAAAAGUUAAAUUAAGGUAACUCGCCUGAACGAAGCGUGUAUGUCCGCAUCGGUUGGGUUAAAUAAAAUGACAACACUAAGUAUGUAGAACUGUCUGUAGAGGUCUUGCGGACGCGGGUUCGAUUCCCGCCGCCUCCACCA
rnacentral:tmRNA from 1 species